GACGAACGCUGGCGGCGUGCUUAACACAUGCAAGUCGAACGGAAAGGCCCUGCUUUUGUGGGGUGCUCGAGUGGCGAACGGGUGAGUAACACGUGAGUAACCUGCCCUUGACUUUGGGAUAACUUCAGGAAACUGGGGCUAAUACCGGAUAGGAGCUCCUGCUGCAUGGUGGGGGUUGGAAAGUUUCGGCGGUUGGGGAUGGACUCGCGGCUUAUCAGCUUGUUGGUGGGGUAGUGGCUUACCAAGGCUUUGACGGGUAGCCGGCCUGAGAGGGUGACCGGCCACAUUGGGACUGAGAUACGGCCCAGACUCCUACGGGAGGCAGCAGUGGGGAAUAUUGCACAAUGGGCGGAAGCCUGAUGCAGCAACGCCGCGUGCGGGAUGACGGCCUUCGGGUUGUAAACCGCUUUCGCCUGUGACGAAGCGUGAGUGACGGUAAUGGGUAAAGAAGCACCGGCUAACUACGUGCCAGCAGCCGCGGUGAUACGUAGGGUGCGAGCGUUGUCCGGAUUUAUUGGGCGUAAAGGGCUCGUAGGUGGUUGAUCGCGUCGGAAGUGUAAUCUUGGGGCUUAACCCUGAGCGUGCUUUCGAUACGGGUUGACUUGAGGAAGGUAGGGGAGAAUGGAAUUCCUGGUGGAGCGGUGGAAUGCGCAGAUAUCAGGAGGAACACCAGUGGCGAAGGCGGUUCUCUGGGCCUUUCCUGACGCUGAGGAGCGAAAGCGUGGGGAGCGAACAGGCUUAGAUACCCUGGUAGUCCACGCUGUAAACGGUGGGUACUAGGUGUGGGGCCCAUUCCACGGGUUCCGUGCCGUAGCUAACGCUUUAAGUACCCCGCCUGGGGAGUACGGCCGCAAGGCUAAAACUCAAAGGAAUUGACGGGGCCCCGCACAAGCGGCGGAGCAUGCGGAUUAAUUCGAUGCAACGCGUAGAACCUUACCUGGGUUUGACAUGGAUCGGGAGUGCUCAGAGAUGGGUGUGCCUCUUUUGGGGUCGGUUCACAGGUGGUGCAUGGCUGUCGUCAGCUCGUGUCGUGAGAUGUUGGGUUAAGUCCCGCAACGAGCGCAACCCUUGUUCACUGUUGCCAGCACGUUAUGGUGGGGACUCAGUGGAGACCGCCGGGGUCAACUCGGAGGAAGGUGGGGAUGACGUCAAGUCAUCAUGCCCCUUAUGUCCAGGGCUUCACGCAUGCUACAAUGGCUGGUACAGAGAGUGGCGAGCCUGUGAGGGUGAGCGAAUCUCGGAAAGCCGGUCUCAGCUCGGAUUGGGGUCUGCAACUCGACCUCAUGAAGUCGGAGUCGCUAGUAAUCGCAGAUCAGCAACGCUGCGGUGAAUACGUUCCCGGG
rnacentral:rRNA from 1 species